CCCUGAAAUCAAUGAAACGAAACCAUUCACGUACACUAAUUACGAUCGAACCAAAGUCAAACUAUACGCAUUUCACACACAACCCCCCAUUGUUGUUGUACCUCCAAAAAAAAAAAAUAAACAAUAACUGCAUAGAAAGAAUGUGGAAUUCCACCAAAGAUUAUGGCAACGUACGGUAAAUGGAGGCCUGUCACCGCUACGUGCAAAUUGGAAUUUUGCUAUGUCGUUGCGUCACGAUUGCUAUCUUAUCGUUACACAACAAUCCAGAAGGGCACGAGUUAUUCCACGCGCAGAUAACACAAACAAAAAUCCAAUUGAAACUUUAAGUGAAACCAAACAACACUGUGCGUGUGUACCGUCGACUGUUCGGCAGCACUGUGGCAACAACUGACGAGCUGGACGCUAUAGAAACUGUUGGGAGGAGGUAACUGGCCGAGACUGCUGGACUCGGAUGGCGAUUGAAACAAAGACACGAACCACGAGCACCAUCUCGUCGGCGGAACCAAUGGUCGACUGUUGAUUUCAUAGCGUCCCAUACUCCUACCCCCACCUAUCCCUUUAAUCUCUUCCAGACAAGCCUCUUAUUGUUUUGUUUUUAUCCUAAAAAAAUGUGUCAAUAAUGGACGAAAUGCUUUUGACUUGGCUGCGACAAGACUAGAAAUAGAAUGGAUCGAUUCUC